AGCAGCCGCGGUAAUUCCAGCUCCAAUAGCGUAUAUUAAAGUUGUUGCAGUUAAAAAGCUCGUAGUUGAAUUUCGGGAUUGACACAUCGGUCGUGCCUUAAGGGGUAUGAACUGGUGUAGUCAAUUUCUCACCUUCUGGAGAACCGCGAUGUCCUUAAUUGGGUGCCGCGGGGAACCAGGACCUUUACUUUGAAAAAUUAGAGUGUUUAAAGCAGGCAUUUUUGCUUGAAUACAUUAGCAUGGAAUAAUAAAAUAGGACGGCAUGGUUCUAUUUUGUUGGUUUCUAGGACCACCGUAAUGAUUAAUAGGGAUAGUUGGGGGCAUUAGUAUUCAAUUGUCAGAGGUGAAAUUCUUGGAUUUAUUGAAGACUAACUACUGCGAAAGCAUUUGCCAAGGAUGUUUUCAUUAAUCAAGAACGAAAGUUAGGGGAUCGAAGACGAUCAGAUACCGUCGUAGUCUUAACCAUAAACUAUAGCCGACUAGGGAUCGGAUGAUGUUAAUUUUUAAUGUACUCAUUCGG
rnacentral:rRNA from 1 species